rnacentral:piRNA from 1 species
UGGACCAUUGUAGCUCAUAAUGGGCAACCUGA